rnacentral:rRNA from 1 species
UGCGAUAAGCGCCGGUAAGGUGAUAUGAACCGUUAUAACCGGCGAUACCCGAAUGGGGAAACCCAGUGUGACUCGUCACACUAUCAUUAACUGAAUCCAUAGGUUAAUGAGGCGAACCGGGGGAACUGAAACAUCUAAGUACCCCGAGGAAAAGAAAUCAACCGAGAUUCCCCCAGUAGCGGCGAGCGAACGGGGAGGAGCCCAGAGCCUGAAUCAGCAUGUGUGUUAGUGGAAGCGUCUGGAAAGGCGCGCGAUACAGGGUGACAGCCCCGUACACAAAAGCGCAUGUGCUGUGAGCUCGAUGAGUAGGGCGGGACACGUGGUAUCCUGUCUGAAUAUGGGGGGACCAUCCUCCAAGGCUAAAUACUCCUGACUGACCGAUAGUGAACCAGUACCGUGAGGGAAAGGCGAAAAGAACCCCGGCGAGGGGAGUGAAAAAGAACCUGAAACCGUGU